GGGUCCUCAUGCAUAAACCCUGGGAUGGACGGUCAAUCUCCUGAACAAGAAGCAACCCAAUUGACUUUACUGCAUUCGUACCAUAACGGUACCGUAAGAAUAAGCACCGGCUAACUACGUGCCAGCAGCCGCGGUAAUACGUAGGGUGCAAGCGUUAAUCGGAAUUACUGGGCGUAAAGCGUGCGCAGGCGGUUAUAUAAGACAGAUGUGAAAUCCCCGGGCUCAACCUGGGAACUGCAUUUGUGACUGUAUAGCUAGAGUACGGCACAGGGGGAUGGAAUUCCGCGUGUAGCAGUGAAAUGCGUAGAUAUGCUGAGGAACACCGAUGGCGAAGGCAAUCCCCUGGGCCUGUACUGACGCUCAUGCACUAAAUCCUUGGGGAGCAAACACGAUUAUAUACCCUGGGUAGUCCACCCCCUAAACGAUGUCCACUGGUUGUUGGCACUUCACUUCCUCAAUAACGAACCUACCGCUUGAAUUUGACCGCUGGGGUAGUACGGCCGCACUGCUCAAACUCAAA
rnacentral:rRNA from 1 species